AGGGCUAUAGCUCAGUUAGGUAGAGCACCUCGUUUACACGGUCUACGGUUCGAGUCCGUAUAGCCCUA
rnacentral:tRNA from 1 species